UGGAUCCAGACUUUGAUUAUGGCUCAGGACGAACGCUGGCGGCACGCUUAACACAUGCAAGUCGAACGAAGAAAAUUUAGUUUACUAAGCUUUCUUAGUGGCGGACGGGUGAGUAACACGUGAGGAACCUGCCUUACAGAGGGGGAUACCGUCUGGAAACGGACGUUAAUACCGCAUAAGAUGACGAAACCGCAUGAUUUAGUCAUAAAAGAUUUAUCGCUGUAAGAUGGCCUCGCGUCUGAUUAGAUAGUUGGUGAGGUAACGGCCCACCAAGUCUACGAUCAGUAGCCGGACUGAGAGGUUGGACGGCCACAUUGGGACUGAGACACGGCCCAGACUCCUACGGGAGGCAGCAGUGGGGGAUAUUGCACAAUGGAGGAAACUCUGAUGCAGCGAUGCCGCGUGAGGGAAGAAGGUUUUAGGAUUGUAAACCUCUGUCUUUGGGGACGAUAAUGACGGUACCCAAGGAGGAAGCUCCGGCUAACUACGUGCCAGCAGCCGCGGUAAUACGUAGGGAGCGAGCGUUGUCCGGAAUUACUGGGUGUAAAGGGAGUGUAGGCGGGAUUGCAAGUCAGAUGUGAAAACUAUGGGCUUAACCCAUAGACUGCAUUUGAAACUACAAUUCUUGAGUGAAGUAGAGGUAAGCGGAAUUCCUAGUGUAGCGGUGAAAUGCGUAGAUAUUAGGAGGAACAUCAGUGGCGAAGGCGGCUUACUGGGCUUUAACUGACGCUGAGGCUCGAAAGCGUGGGGAGCAAACAGGAUUAGAUACCCUGGUAGUCCACGCCGUAAACGAUGAUUACUAGGUGUGGGGGGAUUGAACCCUUCCGUGCCGCAGUUAACACAAUAAGUAAUCCACCUGGGGAGUACGGCCGCAAGGCUGCAACUCAAAGGAAUUGACGGA
rnacentral:rRNA from 1 species